rnacentral:rRNA from 1 species
GACGAACGCUGGCGGCGUGCCUAAUACAUGCAAGUAGAACGCUGAAGGAGGAGCUUGCUUCUCUGGAUGAGUUGCGAACGGGUGAGUAACGCGUAGGUAACCUGCCUGGUAGCGGGGGAUAACUAUUGGAAACGAUAGCUAAUACCGCAUAAGAGUAGAUGUUGCAUGACAUUUGCUCAAAAGGUGCAAUUGCAUCACUACCAGAUGGACCUGCGUUGUAUUAGCUAGUUGGUGGGGUAACGGCUCACCAAGGCGACGAUACAUAGCCGACCUGAGAGGGGGAGCAGCCAGACUGGGACGGUGACACGGCCCAGUCUGCUACAGGAGGCGGCAGGAGGGAAUCUUCGGCAAUGGGCGGAAGUCUGACCGAGCAACGCCGAGGGAGUGAAGAAGGAUGUCGGAUCGGAAAGCUCGGUUGUAAGAGAGGAACGAGUGUGAGGGUGGAAAGUUCACAAUGUGACGGUAGCUUAACAGAAAGGGACGGCUAACUACGUG